rnacentral:misc_RNA from 1 species
GUCGGUAUUUCUGUUUUUGGCUAUUAGGCACAGGAUUUAGGAAUUGUUUAGCUAUAUAGCCAUCUUGGAAAACCAAAUUACUUAGUGUCGGUUAAUGUAACACACUUCUUUAUAUGUUUAUAAGCAGUUAUAUUUGAAGUGUCCCGAAACGUUCAAAAAGGGUCAUAAUAUUUUAUAAUAUGUGAGACGUUUCAGUGUGCGCAACGUCACACGUAACCAUUACAAGCAAUAUGGCGGCGCUCUCUGGGUCUCUUGUGGUCGACAGUCUCUGAUGUUUAUCAUCAAUUUUCCUCAUAAUUGUUUGGCUACAACUUGUCUCAGUGGUGCAGAAGACAACACCCGAUCAUAGAAGUGGACGAAUUCGUUCAACUCUUAAUUCUGGGGUCAAAUUAUCAGUAUGAGCAAUUCCACUCCCUGGCAGUAUCAACAGGGAGCACAGACAAGCACAGGAACAGGAGCUGGAGCAGUAAAAUUAUUUAACCCUGCAGGUUUUGGAGCAGCUACAUCUCAGCCAAGUAACUUUGUCAACAAUGCUGUUCAGGAUGGCCAAUUACAAGCCAAUGGCCAAAAGGAAGCAAGCACCAUGAACAGUUCAUGGGACUGGAGCCCAUCACAAUGGCAUUCUGGUGGAAAUGAAGGACACAAUAACCAACAAAGCAACGCUAAUCAAGGUCAAGGCCAUGAUGUUCCAGGAAAUGUUGACACAUCAGUGUACGAAGGUCAGGCAUAUGACCAGACUCAACAACAUCAACAAUAUUACAACCAGCAGCAGUACUGGGAUCCUAACCAGCAGCAGAAUCAUCAACAAGUGCUGAAUCAACAAGCUCAGGGACAGGAUUUUCAUGGUCAUCAAGAUUGGGCUAAUCAACAGUAUGACUAUAAUCAAACAUGGAAUAAUACUGACUAUAGUCAACAGCAAAGCCAGCCUUUAAAUAAUCAUUAUGAUGGCCAACAAACCUUUCAACCACACCAGGAGAAUAGUCAGCCUUACAAUAUUAUCAAUCAAGAGCAGACACAGGGACACUUUAAUUUAGAACAAGAUCAGGAUCAUCUUGCCAACCAGGGACCUAAUCAGGAACAUGUUUAUAAUCAACAAAAAGUAGAAAAUGAUGGUCUUAAUUCAUCUGCAGCUUCAAACUAUAGUGGAAGUCUAAAUCAGUCUAGCAUCCAUGAGGAUCAAGGAUCUACCUCAGGUUUCUACCAAAACACAGAUCCUGAAGAUGUAGGUUUUAUGGGACAAAUUCAUGUAGGGGAGGAGCCUGUUGUAAGUAGUGGGAUUGUAAAUCCUCCAAAUGUUGUACAUUCCAGUGCCAAUGACAAUGCACCAUUACGCAUGGGUAUGGUUGGUGGUGAACAGUUAGAAAGCACACAAGAUAGAACUGAUAUGAUUGAUGUGAUAUCACAAGUCAAUCACAUGAGAAUUCAAGACAAUGAAAGUUCUGGUGGGGUAAGCUAUAGUGCUAAGUCAGUAGAUAGAGCACAAGAACAAGGGUUUGGUAUUGGUCAGCCAGUUACUUCAAAUGACCCACCAGCUAACCUUGUACAGACUAACAGUGGUAUGAUGGCCACUGCUGAUGAUCAGCAAAGCUUAGGGGACUGGGAGGUGGUACCAUCCCAGAAUCUUGCUGUACCUGGGAAUCAUAGUAGACAGAGUUCCACUGACAAUAAUGUCCAGUUUUUUAUUGGCUCCAGCAGGAACUCUCCAGGUAGUGGGCGUGGCACAGGAUCACCCUGCUCAGUUAUACAGGGGCAGGGGGAGGAAAAGACUAAUCUGUCUGUCUUCAACCCACAGCCCCCACAAGUAUGUCAGCCUCCGAAACCAUUCCAACCUGAUUCUAUGUUGCCAAAGUACACAUCCUCCCCGAAUAUUACACCAGAGACUACUGUGUCAACAGAAUUAGGAAAAUCAUCUUUAUCAAACACAGGUCCACCCCCUUCCAUAGGUACUCCACCAUCGGGCAGAGGGGGAGAUAACCCAUUUAGAAAAAAUGGUCAACAGCUAGCACCUACUGAACCCCAACAGGAAUUAAGGCAUGGAAUUACUGGAAAUGUGUCCUCCCUUGAAGGUAGCUCCUAUUCUGAGGGUGUGUUGAGUAGCAAGGAUAGUUCACUUGAACCACCUAGUCCAAUUCUGAAUACUGAAGACCCAUCACAGACACUUGGCAGUCGUUUUGGCCAAAAGAUGAAGCCACAGAGCCCAAUCAUGCCACGGAAAGAGAGCCCGUUUCAACCUCCAGCCAGACGCAGGAAUAUAUCGGGGUCUAGUGAAACUAUAGAGGAAAAUGCUCGUAUGGAGGAGGUUUCUCGACAAGACAGUCGAGAAAGUCUAACAAGAGGCAUAGAACACAGUAAGUCAAUGGGUUCAGAUAGGUCAUUUGGUGCAGGCAGUAGUAGGAGAUCUUCAGGAAGUGAUUCACAGGGUCAAUCGGAUCGUGACUCUUCUCACAGCCAGGACCCCCACUGGAAGACACGGACAAAUCUGGACAGGAGAUCCAGACCUCCGCCAGGUCCUAGUGGAAGCUCCAGAGCACGUGCAGUAAUGUCCCCUAGGAGGAUGGAAAAGCAUCUCCAGCAUAACCAGGAAAGAAGGGUGAAACACAACAUGUCACCAGCAACAACUCUAUGGGCAGACAGUGGUGAGCUGCCGACGGCAAAUAUUUUGCUUGCCCCUGCAGGUCCAAUGCCUUCACUAAUGUCACCUGUCUCGGUGUCUCUGCCACUGAAGGCAAAGGAUAGCAAAGAGACGGAACAGGUUCUGUCUCCUGUAGAAAACUUGAUAACAUCCUUGACAGAACACAUAUCAAAGGAGAACACGCCAGAACCUGAAAUUGUGACAAAAAGUAAACCUGUUGUGUUGGCUGAUGCACUGAGUAAAAAUCAGGAGGAAAGGAAAAGACAGGAAGUGGUUAAAGAACGGGACAGACAUGAGCGAAACUCCUCUAUAGACCGUGAGCUAGAGAUAGUACGUAGACAGGAAGAGGAGGAAAAGAGGGAGUUAAAAAACAGAAAACACAAUGAUAACCAUGGAGAACACUAUAGUGUGAAGGACCAGUAUCAAGACAGUCGGGGUCAUGACCCUAGGGAUUCUAGAGAUCAACGUGAAUCAAGAGAUCAUCAUGAUUCUAGAGAUCGUAGGGAUGAUACUUAUGAUGCCUACUAUGAUAAAAAGGCCAGGUAUGGCUAUAAAGGAGCAGCACCUCUUAGAGAUCCCAACAGGGAUCAAUACCAUGGAGAUGAACGAUAUGACAGGCCUAGGUCAAGGAACUCGCACUAUGAUGGGCGACCUUCAUCUAGGCAAAGUCGUACUGAGACAGAUUCUGAACGCCCACGUUCCCGCCAGGAAUACAGUCGAGACCCAGCCUACAAGGACGGACGAUAUAGUUCUGCAUCAAAAGGAGGAUACGACUACGAUUACUACAACCAGCAAGGUUAUCAUGACAGUCGGUAUUACAAUCAGGGCUACUAUCAUGACAGCCGGUAUAAUUCAGCUUACUAUGACGAGUACUACCGUCAGGUCCAAGGACAGGAUCAAGGACAGUACAAUGAACACUACGAUAAAAUGAUGGACCGGCACUACCAUCCAUACUACGGCUAUCCAUCCGAGUACUAUAGCCAGGGUUAUGAGGACGACCAGUACAGUCAGCGCAGUCAGUCACGGGGAGCUCACACCCCAGCCUCCUUACUGGAGGACCAGCCAGAUGCCUAUGGAUAUGGGGCUAGGACCUCGAGUCGUGCUGGAUAUGAUGACUACCACAGGAGCCAUUACGACCCCUACUAUGGGUACAGACAGGGAGGGUACCAUUAUCAGGACCAAGGGGUCACAGAAGAGACAAAACCUGGCAGAAUAACUCCCAAGAAACACACAAUUCCACAUAUGAAGGUUUGCUUUGGCCCUGGAGGUCAACUGGUCAAGGUGCUGCCAAAUAACCCAGUGUACGGUCAACCUGCAACAGUUGAGAUUCACGAAGUAGAUGAAUUGUUACAAGAAAACAUGGAAACUGAAGAGCUCAAAUCUUUCCCAGGUCCUGUGAUCAGAGGUGAUACCCACAAGAAUGAUGUUCUAGCCUUCUGCCAACGUAAGGCCAGGGCCUGUGCAGAGAACAUCAACAUGAUCGAUCGUGAAUCAGCUGAACUCAUCUGGAAACUUCUGGAACUACUCAUCAAACAAAAUGGGACUGUGAUGGGAACAGACAUUGCUGAACUGUUGUUGGAGGGCCACGAACCUACCACAGCCGAGUACAGCAUGAUUGGACUCAAGAUUUCACAGAGCAUGGACAAUCUGGACCAGGAAUUGGAUGACACAACUGAAGUCAAUGCCUCUACCUUCUCUGUGACUGACCGCUCCAUCAUCAACAGAGGUCGGUCCCAAGAGGAAGCUACUGACCGCUUCAGGCAUCUGUUGCUUUAUGGACGCAAAAAGGAUGCUUUAGAAUGUGCCAUGAAGAGAAACCUGUGGGGACAUGCACUGUUCCUAGCCAGUAAGAUGGAUAGCCGGACACAUGCUAAUGUCAUGAUUAGGUUUGCCAACACAGCAAUGAAGAUGAACGACCCUCUACAGACUCUUUACCAGCUGAUGUCUGGGAGACAGCCAGCAUCUGUAACUAGUAUAGCUAACGAACGUUGGGGAGACUGGAGGCCUCAUUUGGCUAUGAUUCUGUCUAACCAGGGAAGCAAACCAGACCUAGAUAAGAAGAGUAUCAUGUCUAUGGGCGACACACUAGCGUCGAAGGGCUUUUUAUACGCUAGCCACUUUUGUUACAUAAUGGGUCAAGCUUCGUUUGGCUCUUAUUUCAAAAAGACUGCUAAACUGGUGCUAAUUGGAAUCAAUCAAAGUCUACCUUUGGAGGAGUUCACUACAAAUGAAGCUAUCCAGUGCACAGAGAUCUAUGAGUAUGCCAUGUCAUUGGGAAAUCCUUCAUUUUUUCUGUCAAAUUUCCAGGUCUUCAAGUUUUUAUAUGCCUGUAGAUUAGCUGAAAAUGGAUUUCCUCAAGAGGCUCUUCAAUAUUUUGAAGUGAUUUCAAGAUAUAUUCAGCGUGCUCCAACAUUCUUCCAGCCAACUCUAGUCAAAUUAGUUUAUAACUUGGCGGACCGGUUGAAGCACUUUGACCCCCAGAGAAUGCAUACAGCUGACGAUCAGGACCAGGCAUGGCUGUUACAGCUACAGAAGAUUUCCCAGGGUUUUCAGGAUGGAUCAAUCCGACCCCUGUCAGGUAGUGUUACCCCUAUGGGAUAUGGAAGUACGAGGGCUAGUAGUGAAAGUGCAGAGGUUGCAGGUCUGACUCGCCCAGGAUCUGACCUGAUGGGUCAAGGUCAGAUGGACUACAAUUACCAGACAGGGUAUACACAACAGCAGGGGUACGGCGACAGGCCAGACCAGUCACAGAGCGAGGUGGAUGGUCAGACUGAAGGACAGACAUUUGUCGGACAACAACAGUACAACUAUAACUAUCCUCAAACUGGACAGCAGACACAGGAGCAGUCCCAAGGGGAACAGCAAGCCCAACAACAGUACACAGAGCAACAGUAUACAGACCAACAACAACAACAGUACAACCAGGAACAGCACACUAACUACAAUAAUUACUAUCAACAUGGUUAUGUACCAAAUAAUACAGAAGCUCAGCAAGGUGAUUCAGGAAAUCAAACAAUGUCAGCUGAGGUCACCAGUCAGUACCAAGGGUAUAUGGCUGCUACCUCUGAUACUGGCGUGCCACAAUUAGAUGGUACGUAUGUAGCUGGAAGUGUACAGGAUCAGGCUUCUGUGACCCAAACACACACUCACAACACAGCAUCCCAACCCUACAACCCAAACAUCUACUCCCAGACAGGCGAGUCUUCACAGCAACAAAGCAUCACAUCCGACAGCAGUCUGGACACGGAGGACGACGCGAACCAGGAACAACAGACUGAUUUUGAUUACUUUGGGGCAGCCACUACCCAAAAAAUUGUAGCUCCACGGUUAAGGAAACGCACCACAUCAGAGACUAGUCAAGGGAGUGGUAAUCGAUCAACCUAUCCCGGGGAACAAGCCAAAGAUGACAAAGCAAGAAUGCCUCCUCCUGCUGCCAAAACAGAUCCAUCCAAGAAGCAGGGAAGCAGGUUAGGGGGAUGGUUCAGUAAACUCCUACCCAAACCCAAGAACGAGAUGAAGCUUCCUAAUGAUGAUAAACCAAGUAUUGUGUGGGACAAGGAUAAUGAAAAGUGGGUGAACUUAGACGGUACCGAGGAAGUGAGUAAACCAGUGGCAGAACCUCCAAAGGACUCGGACAUCUUCAAAACCCCAGCAGUGCCAGCAACUCCUGAGUCAAGUUCAGCGUUAGGGGCACCCCCUUCGGGCAACAAGUUUUCACGUCCUAAAGGUAGAGGAGCACGUAACCAGUAUGUGGAUGUGAUGAAUACUAGUGGGAGUAGUACUAGCAGCACAACAGUGCCAAAAAGUCUGUUCAACGUGAUGCCGACUUCAGCCUCGUCACCAGCAAUAUUUAAUCCACUUGGAGGAAGCGAUCAGUCUGACUCAAAAACAGACCCUCAACCUCAGCAGUCAAUAGCGCCACCUGCUGAACAAAACAUGAACCAGUCUCUGACACCAGGGGAGUUGUCUAGGACAAGCUCUAUGAGCUCUGUAUCAUAUGAGGUCCAACAACUAACUCGUCAGGAUGGGAAACAGACCCAAGCACCUAAUUUGACCCCAGGGGGACCCCCCAUGUUGUUUAAUCCUUCUCAAUUUAAAACUGGUCAGCAGAAUGCAGCACCUGCCGGUGGUCCAAAGCUCUACAACCAACGAAGGGUUUAUCCUAAAUGAUGAUACAGCCCAACACUAACCUAAAUGAUGGUACAGCCCAACACUAAACCAGGAGAAUGGAUGUAGCUGGAUGUUUAAAUAUUAAUAUCCAAAGUACACACUGGACAGUUUUAUUGUAGAUUCUUAAUCUCAUGCUCAUACAAGUCCAAAUAAUUUUAUUCUAAUAAAAGAAGGUUAAUUUGAUUUUAAUGGAAUCUUGUGACCAGAUCUUGAACUGAUUAUGGUAGUGGCAAUAAUAACUCAUGUCUUUCACAAGUGUGCUUCGAGAAUAAUGGUUCUGUUUGAGAAAUCUUCAAGUGAUGGACUAAUACCUGCCUCAAAUGAGGUAAGACAGAGAGCCCCCCCCCGGCAAACCAAUAGUCUUGUUGAUGUGGUUUUGGUGUUUAUUUAUUGUUUUUAGAAUUAGGAGAGUAGGCCUUCCUGUCUAACAGGGAAAGUAUAAAAACAGGUGUGUUUCACAUCUGGUUUACUGUCGUAUGAUGUGGGUUUGAUUUUUUUGAUGACCAUGUCUCCAUCAGACUUCAUGAUAUUUAUCUUAUAUUGUCUAGUUUGUUCAUCUGUGUUCUGGGAGAUGUAACCCUGUGAUUUGUACCAUAACUUAAUUAAAAAUUAUGUAUAUUUACUUUCAUAUUCUUUCACUUGCAUUUACAAACUUUGCAGCUUUUCUGGUCUUGGUUCAGGUAUUAAGACCUUCUUAAACUUAAAAACAUAUUGAUGUAAAGUUCUCUUCCCAGAUUUUUCUGAAUAGUUAGAAGUUUUCUGUUUGAUUGACUUCUUUUACCCAGCUUACGAUGUGUUUGGUUGUUUCAGAUAACAUAGUGGAUAGAAAUUUUAUUUGAAUACGUUGUUAAGAUUUAAAGCUUUUUUAGAUCUGGACCAUGCUUUGAAGUCAAAACAUAUUUAUUGUCUUGAGUUAGAAUUUGUUUCAUGCUAAGAUUGAUAUACACCAUCUAAUCAUUGAUUCUACUCAUUGACUAAUUACUUAAUGUGAUUAAGUGAUUGGUUUCAUGAUCUAAGGUGCUAGCUAUUUGAGUAAAUGAGACUGUAUAACACUGUGAAGUAGGAUGAGUGGGGAGCUGGCAAUCAUUAACCUAUCCAAGGCAUUGGGCCAUCAACUAGAUUCCAUCACCUUCAUUUUAUAUUCUCUCCCUUUUCUAAUUGAUUACUCCACCCUCUGAAAUGAUUUUAACGAUGCUUAGUAUUGGUAAGGUUUGAAUGAAUUAGCUCAUUCACCCCUGAAAUUAAUUUCAUGAUCAACCAUGUUUCUUCAGGGGUUAAUGAGUUAAAAAUAAGCGAGUUCAUUUUAAGGUGGAGUUUUAAUAAUUUCAAUCUAUUACCUGGUACUAUGCUACAUACUUAUGGGUAGCUUUUGCUGACAACGUGUAGCAUUCUCUCCUCCCUAAUAAAACAGUACAGGCUGAGUGAAGUCAAUCCUGAGAAUCAGAGGUUAACUCGAGGUCAGAGGACUGAAUAUACAGAACAGGAAAUCUUUACAAUAACAAAUUUGUGAAAAUAUUGAAAACGAAACAUUUAGAAUACAAAUUUGUUAUCUGUUGUUGUGUAGCAAAAAUAUUUCCAAAUGAAAAUAUUAUUUGUUACGAUGUUUACAGGACAGUGGAUAAUGGACUGUCUUUCAGAGAGAGAUUUCUUUAGAUGUUCUAGGAUAGAGAAAUAUUGAGUGACGACAUCAAAACAGUGAUAUGAUAUUAGGACAUUAAAGUUUACAAUUAAUAUUUGUAACAUCUGUGAUAAAAAGUUAUUUCUAAAUAUACCAAUACUUUAAAUAUACAAAGCGCUUUAGAGCGGCUAAUUAUUAUUAUUAUUACUUGUUUACUGAUAUAAAUGUACAAACUUUAAUUUCUAUAAAUCUAUUUUAUGUGAUAUACUUCAAUUCCACUAUAAUGACAACAUGUCAUUGAUACAGUACCCAUAGUUUUCCGGUAUCUGGUGUUUCUUUGUGUGCCAUGAAAACGUCUACAUGACUGUGAAUGGUAGAUGAGUGCAUGGCAGUGUUGUGUAAAAAAGUGCGUUUGAGAAAGUGCUACUACAGAAAAAACUAAGUACCGUUAUAUACUGUUCAAAUACAAACUUGAUGAGGAUAAAUGAUUGUCAUAGUUGAUUUUGAAUAUGCUACAGUAAACAUAUUAAUGUUAAAACUUUACAGAACCCCCAAUAUUGACUGUACUUAUGAGACAUUAAAGAUGAUUGUUUGAUUUGUUGAAUUUUAGUUAGGGUACUAUUAAUCAAAUUUCUCCAAUAGCCACAAUAUGCUUCCCCACUAUGGAGGCAAUGGAUAAACCUGAAAGGAGGUGGUACACAUGUCUUGUUACCCACAUCUGGAAAAUGUGCAGAAAAGCAUCUUAAAAUAUUGCAAUAUAUAUAUAGAAUUAUUGUCUACAGUUUAACAUGUCAAAAUAUUUUACUUUUUAAUUGACAAUUAUUUUUUUUUUUUAAUUUUCAAAGAUGUUUUGUGUGGGGUUGCAAUACACAUGUUGAAUUUAGUUUGUUAUCAAAUAGUUACAAGAUAAUUGUCACAUAUUUAACAGUAUACAGUAUUUCUCCAUUUAUUUUGAUGAUAAAGACUCGUUGACAUUUAUAUUAUUUAUUUAGAACAUCAAUAGAAGAAAAUGGUAACCAUAUAAAAUAUCAAGAGACUUUAUCAUUGAUUGAUAUUGAAAGUAAAAUUAAUAUAGAUUGUAUGUGUAUUCAGAGAGUAAAUGAGAUAUUCAAACCUUAUUUAUUGAUUUGUUUUUAUGCUGUAUAAAGGAUGUGAGAGAAAAGAUUGCAUGUACAUAUAUUUUAUUCUGACGAAAUAAUAGACGGAUGUUUAAAAAUUAUUCUCGAGUGCAAAUUAUGUUGUACGAUAGAAUUAUGAAUUGUAAGUAAUAGAAGGGAAAUGGUCAACCAGAAAUGCUGGGAUAUCGUCCUUAUCAUGGUGUUAUUUCCCAUCAUUGACUUGAGUGUGGCCAUACAGUUGACUGAGGAAUGCUGUUUAAUUGAUGGUUUAAAUUAUUGUGCAGUACCCUUCGACUUUUUAUUUGAAAUGAAGUUGUUAAUUGUAUUUUUGGGAAGGAAAAAUAAAUAUCUCUUUCAGCAGACUUUUCUGUUUAAUUUGACCAUUCUAGUUUUGCAGGGUAUAUACUUUGUACACGUAGACAGUAAUAAUAUGGUCAGCACAGACAUCCCGCCACAGUGCAUGAUAUAGGACUGAUAUUAGCUUUGUUUACAAAAUUUCUAUCUGCCAUAUGCUUUCUUAAGUGAUCCUUAUCAGAAGACAUGCUUGAAUUGUUGAUGCGUUUUAAUAAAUAAGUUAUAACAAUAUGCAUAAUGGAUAAAGAUUUAUGUAUAUGUGUCAAGGUUAUAAUUUUGCGAUUUAAACAAAUAAGUUUGUCAAAAAAAUCUUUAAAAUCAACUAUUCAGUGAUAAACAUGGCCUAUACAUUGUGUUUUUCUCAAGUUAAGUGCAAUGCUAUUUUACCACUUUUGUACAUUUUCAUUUGGAAUAUCAGCUUUUAGCUAUAUCAGACACAUAUAUCUCCUUUCUGACUUUAAAGUUCUUAACCUCUGCUGCCAUACAGUAUCAUGCCAAGGGGAUACCAGUAGGUAGGGAAUACCUCUGUUAUUAGAAGAAAAUCAUUUAAAAGUAUAUUUCAACAAACCUUAUAAUGAUUACUUGAUCUCAAAUAAAUUUCACUGCCACUUGAUUCUAUUACGUAUGUAAUGUUCACACCCACACCUUAUUAGGAAUGGAGUAUUUCACUGAUUUCAUCAAAACUCAAGUACAUUUGUGUAAAUAUGUCAUAAAUAUCCUUUUUAUGGUUGAUAGACCUUGUCUGUUAUGGUGAAACCAUUUUAAUUCUAACUUAACAUGAUUGACCACUUCUUGUGUUCAUCUGUUCCCCAGAGAUUUGCUUGUGUGUCAAACCACAUGUAUAUAGUCUGUUCUAUUCUGAAUAAGGUGAGAUAAUUGGCUACUAGUCAGCUCUAUUCUGAAUAAGGUGAGAUAAUUGGCUACUAGUCAGCUCUAUUCUGAAUAAGGUUUUAGUCGGCUGGUGAAGGUUACAAUAUAUUUUCUGUUCAAACUUCAUUCAUCAUAUCAGCAUGAACCUACGGUAAUCCCAUAAAAUCCUUGCAUAAUGCAGUAUCUCUUGUGAAUUCUGUUGUUUUAAUUAUUUGCCAAUUGAUCAGAGGGGAAUGUCAUUACAACACGAAAUUGAAUUACGCGAGUGUCAACCGAAUUAUUGAAAAUAAAAUAUAUUUGAAAUCUA